rnacentral:rRNA from 1 species
UACGUAGGGUGCAAGCGUUGUCCGGAAUUAUUGGGCGUAAAGAGCUCGUAGGCGGUUUGUCGCGUCUGCUGUGAAAACUCGGGGCUUAACCCUGGGCCUGCAGUGGGUACGGGCAGACUAGAGUGCGGUAGGGGAGACUGGAAUUCCUGGUGUAGCGGUGAAAUGCGCAGAUAUCAGGAGGAACACCGGUGGCGAAGGCGGCAUCCUGGACCGGCAUUGACGCUGAGGAGCGAAAGCCAGGGGAGCAAACGGG